UCAUGAUCUUAUGAACUCAGUCAGUUGUCUGAUGUCAGUAGUAUUCCGUCAGUCAACGAAAGUCAGUAACUCAGUCCAUGUUCAGUUCAAUAAAUCAUGUUCAAUGUCUAUUCAGAUGAGAGUAGAAACUAGCACCAAGUGAACCCAAGGAUGGGAACUCCCCUGUUAUAUGAGGGUGAUUCUUAAAAGCAAUCCUUGCGUUCUAAAACUAUAUAGCCAGCAUAGGUUGAGACAUCAUAGCCUG
rnacentral:lncRNA from 1 species